AGAGUUUGAUCCUGGCUCAGGAUGAACGCUGGCGGCGUGCCUAACACAUGCAAGUCGAGCGGGAAAUCUUGGAAUGAUCCUUCGGGUGAAUGAAAAGAUGGAGAGCGGCGGACGGGUGAGUAACGCGUAGGCAACCUGCCCUUUGCAGAGGGAUAGCCACUGGAAACGGUGAUUAAAACCUCAUAAUGCAGGAGAUACACAUGUAUUUCUUGUCAAAGAUUUAUCGGCAAAGGAUGGGCCUGCGUCUGAUUAGCUGGUUGGUGAGGUAACGGCUCACCAAGGCAACGAUCAGUAGCCGACCUGAGAGGGUAAUCGGCCACAUUGGAACUGAGACACGGUCCAAACUCCUACGGGAGGCAGCAGUGGGGAAUAUUGCACAAUGGGGGAAACCCUGAUGCAGCAACGCCGCGUGAAGGAAGAAGGCCUUUGGGUCGUAAACUUCUGUCCUAAGGGAAGAUAAUGACGGUACCUUUGGAGGAAGCCCCGGCUAACUACGUGCCAGCAGCCGCGGUAAUACGUAGGGGGCGAGCGUUAUCCGGAAUUAUUGGGCGUAAAGAGUGCGUAGGCGGUUUUUUAAGCGCGGGGUGAAAGGCAAUGGCUUAACCAUUGUUAGCCCUGCGAACUGGGAGACUUGAGUGCAGGAGAGGAAAGCGGAAUUCCUAGUGUAGCGGUGAAAUGCGUAGAUAUUAGGAGGAACACCAGUGGCGAAGGCGGCUUUCUGGACUGUAACUGACGCUGAGGCACGAAAGUGUGGGGAGCAAACAGGAUUAGAUACCCUGGUAGUCCACACCGUAAACGAUGAGCACUAGGUGUCGGGGUCGAAAGACUUCGGUGCCGCAGUUAACGCAUUAAGUGCUCCGCCUGGGGAGUACGCACGCAAGUGUGAAACUCAAAGGAAUUGACGGGGACCCGCACAAGCAGCGGAGCAUGUGGUUUAAUUCGAAGCAACGCGAAGAACCUUACCAGGACUUGACAUCCCUCUGAAACUCCUGAUAACGAAGGAGCCUCUUCGGACAGAGGAGACAGGUGGUGCAUGGUUGUCGUCAGCUCGUGUCGUGAGAUGUUGGGUUAAGUCCCGCAACGAGCGCAACCCUUGUCAUUAGUUGCCAUCAUUAAGUUGGGCACUCUAGUGAGACUGCCGGGGACAACUCGGAGGAAGGUGGGGAUGACGUCAAAUCAUCAUGCCCCUUAUGUUCUGGGCUACACACGUGCUACAAUGGCCGGUACAAAGAGCAGCAAGACUGUGAAGUGGAGCAAAUCUCAAAAACCGGUCCCAGUUCGGAUUGUAGGCUGCAACUCGCCUACAUGAAGUCGGAGUUGCUAGUAAUCGCGGAUCAGAAUGCCGCGGUGAAUGCGUUCCCGGGUCUUGUACACACCGCCCGUCACACCAUGGAAGUUGGGGGCGCCCGAAGUUGCCUAAGAAAUAGGGUACCUAAGGCGAAACCAAUGACUGGGGUGAAGUCGUAACAAGGUAACCAA
rnacentral:rRNA from 2 species